GUGCCAGCCGCCGCGGUAAUACGUAGGUGGCAAGCGUUAUCCGGAAUUACUGGGCGUAAAGCGCAUGCAGGCGGCUCUUUAAGUCUGACGUGAAAGCUCCUGGCUUAACUGGGAGAGGUCGUUGGAAACUGGGGGGCUUGAGGCAAUGAGAGGGGUGUAGAAUUCCCGGUGUAGUGGUGGAAUGCGUAGAUAUCGGGAGGAAUACCAGUGGCGAAAGCGGCACCCUGGCAUUGGCCUGACGCUCAUGUGCGAAAGCGUGGGGAGCAAACGGGAUUAGAAACCCGCGUAGUCC
rnacentral:rRNA from 1 species